rnacentral:rRNA from 1 species
UGGCGGACGGGUGAGUAACGCGUGAGAAUCUGUCUUCAGGUCGGGGACAACAGUUAGAAAUGACUGCUAAUACCGGAUGUUUUGCCGAAAGGUGAAAGAUUUAUUGCCUGAAAAAGAGCUCGCGUCAGAUUAGCUAGUAGGUGGUGUAAGAGACUACCUAGGCUUCGAUCUGUAGCUGGUCUGAGAGGACGAUCAGCCACACUGGAACUGAGACACGGUCCAGACUCCUACGGGAGGCAGCAGUGGGGAAUUUUCCGCAAUGGGCGAAAGCCUGACGGAGCAAUACCGCGUGAGGGACGAAGGCUCUUGGGUCGUAAACCUCCCCCUUUUCUCAAGGAAGAUUAAGACGGUACUUGAGGAAUAAGCAUCGGCUAACUCUGUGCCAGCAGCCGCGGUAAUACAGAGGAUGCAAGCGUUAUCCGGAAUGAUUGGGCGUAAAGCGUCCGCAGGUGGUUUUAUAAGUCUGCUGUUAAAAAAGCGUUAGGCUCAACCUAAUAAGGGCAGUGGAAACUAUAAGACUAGAGUAUGUUAGGGGUAGAGGGAAUUCCCAGUGUAGCGGUGAAAUGCGUAGAGAUUGGGAAGAACACCGGUGGCGAAAGCGCUCUGCUAGGACAAUACUGACACUGAGGGACGAAAGCUAGGGGAGCGAAUGGGAUUAGAUACCCCAGUAGUCCUAGCCGUAAACGAUGGAUACUAGGCGUUGCCCGUAUCGACCCGGGCAUUGUCGUAGCUAACGCGUUAAGUAUCCCGCCUGGGGAGUACGCACGCAAGUGUGAAACU